GAUGAACGCUGGCGGCGUGCCUAAUACAUGCAAGUCGAGCGAACAGAUAAGGAGCUUGCUCCUUUGACGUUAGCGGCGGACGGGUGAGUAACACGUGGGUAACCUAUCUAUAAGACUGGAAUAACUCCGGGAAACCGGGGCUAAUGCCGGAUAACAUGUUGAACCGCAUGGUUCUACAGUGAAAGGCGGCUUUGCUGUCACUUAUAGAUGGACCCGCGCCGUAUUAGCUAGUUGGUGGGGUAACGGCUCACCAAGGCAACGAUACGUAGCCGACCUGAGAGGGUGAUCGGCCACACUGGAACUGAGACACGGUCCAGACUCCUACGGGAGGCAGCAGUAGGGAAUCUUCCGCAAUGGGCGAAAGCCUGACGGAGCAACGCCGCGUGAGUGAUGAAGGUCUUCGGAUCGUAAAACUCUGUUAUUAGGGAAGAACAAAUGCGUAAGUAACUGUGCGCGUCUUGACGGUACCUAAUCAGAAAGCCACGGCUAACUACGUG
rnacentral:rRNA from 1 species